GGAAGUAAAAAGUCGUAACAAGGUCUCCGUUGGUGAACCAGCGGAGGGAUCAUUACAGAGUUGCAAAACUCCCUAAACCAUUGUGAACGUUACCUAUACCGUUGCUUCGGCGGGCGGCCCCGGGGUUUACCCCCCGGGCGCCCCUGGGCCCCACCGCGGGCGCCCGCCGGAGGUCACCAAACUCUUGAUAAUUUAUGGCCUCUCUGAGUCUUCUGUACUGAAUAAGUCAAAACUUUCAACAACGGAUCUCUUGGUUCUGGCAUCGAUGAAGAACGCAGCGAAAUGCGAUAAGUAAUGUGAAUUGCAGAAUUCAGUGAAUCAUCGAAUCUUUGAACGCACAUUGCGCCCGCCAGCAUUCUGGCGGGCAUGCCUGUUCGAGCGUCAUUUCAACCAUCAAGCCCCCGGGCUUGUGUUGGGGACCUGCGGCUGCCGCAGGCCCUGAAAAGCAGUGGCGGGCUCGCUGUCGCACCGAGCGUAGUAGCAUACAUCUCGCUCUGGUCGCGCCGCGGGUUCCGGCCGUUAAACCACCUUUUAACCCAAGGUUGACCUCGGAUCAGGUAGGAAGACCCGCUGAACUUAAGCAUAUCAAUAAGGCGGAGGA
rnacentral:rRNA from 1 species